rnacentral:rRNA from 1 species
AAACCGGUGAGGUGGAAACGGAUAGAGCCGAAAAUUGCGCUGCAAUUUCAAACGAUUUGAUAGCCUUCAUUUCGCUCUGUAAAUGUAUGCGUUUGUCGAGAGGCCGUUGGAAUAAAGCAAUGUCGCUUGUUUGAUGAGAAGGGCGCUGCCUGGCGAAAUCCCCUUCAUUCUUGCUCUCGCUUCUAGCGGUUUACACUCGGUGCAUCUCACCGAAUUCAGUCAGUCGUUCGGUCGUAUGAUUUUAAAUGCUUGCAUGAAAAUCUUACUUCCUUGCGGUUCGACGUGACUGUUUGUUGGUGUAUGCGCUCAUCUCGACGUUCCAUGUUGGUCACCUAUCCGACCCGUCUUGAAACACGGACCAAGGAGUUUUAACGUACACGCGAGUUCAAUGGACCUAACGAAAUCCAAGGGCGCAAUGAGAAUGAAUGGAUGUCGACUAUCCAAUGAAAAGGAUAAGCAGCAUCGCCCUUGUAGACUGUGUUUCACACAGCUAUGGAGGCAGAGCGUGUACGAUGAGACCCGAAAGAUGGUGAACUAUUCCCCGAGCAGGAUAAAGCCGGGGGAAACUCUGGUGGAAGUUCCGAAGCGAUUCUGACGUGCAAAUCGAUCGUCUGACUUGGGUAUAGGGGCG